AACGAACGCUGGCGGCAUGCCUAACACAUGCAAGUCGAACGAGAUCUUCGGGUCUAGUGGCGCACGGGUGCGUAACGCGUGGGAAUCUGCCCUUUGGUUCGGAAUAACAGUUGGAAACGACUGCUAAUACCGGAUGAUGACGAAAGUCCAAAGAUUUAUCGCCAGAGGAUGAGCCCGCGUAGGAUUAGCUAGUUGGUGUGGUAAAGGCGCACCAAGGCGACGAUCCUUAGCUGGUCUGAGAGGAUGAUCAGUCACACUGGGACUGAGACACGGCCCAGACUCCUACGGGAGGCAGCAGUGGGGAAUAUUGGACAAUGGGCGGAAGCCUGAUCCAGCAAUGCCGCGUGAGUGAUGAAGGCCUUAGGGUUGUAAAGCUCUUUUACCCGGGAUGAUAAUGACAGUACCGGGAGAAUAAGCUCCGGCUAACUCCGUGCCAGCCGCCGCGGUAA
rnacentral:rRNA from 1 species